UACAGAGGUGGCAAGCGUUGUUCGGAAUUACUGGGCGUAAAGGGCGCGUAGGUGGCCUGUUAAGUCGAACGUGAAAUCCCCGGGCUCAACCCGGGAACUGCGUCCGAGACUGGCAGGCUCGAAUCCGGGAGAGGGAUGUGGAAUUCCAGGUGUAGCGGUGAAAUCCGUAGAUAUUGGAAAGAACACCGGCCGCGAAGGCGAUUCACUGGCUCAUUACUGACGCUCAGGGACGAAAGCCAGGGGAGCAAACGGG
rnacentral:rRNA from 1 species